UACGUAGGGUGCAAGCGUUAAUCGGAAUUACUGGGCGUAAAGCGCACGUAGGUGGUUUUCUAAGUCAGCUGUGAAAUCCCCGGGCUCAACCUGGGAAUGGCAUUUGGGACUGCAAGGCUGGAGUGCGGCAGAGGAGACUGGAAUUCCCGGUGUAGCAGUGAAAUGCGUAGAUAUCGGGAGGAACACCCAGGGGGAAACCAGUCGACUGGGCAUCUACUGACGCUGAGGUGCGAGAGCGUGGGGAGCGAACCGGGAUUGAG
rnacentral:rRNA from 1 species